rnacentral:rRNA from 1 species
GAUGAACGCUAGCGGCAGGCCUAAUACAUGCAAGUCGAGGGGCAGCACGGUAGCAAUACUGGUGGCGACCGGCGCACGGGUGCGUAACGCGUAUGCAACUUACCCUUUACAGGGAGAUAGCCCGGAGAAAUUCGGAUUAAUAUCCCAUAGUAUAUAGAUUUGGCAUCAGAUUUAUAUUAAAGAUUUAUCGGUAAAGGAUGGGCAUGCGUGUCAUUAGCUAGUUGGUGAGGUAAUGGCUCACCAAGGCGACGAUGACUAGGGGUACUGAGAGGUUACACCCCCACACUGGUACUGAGAUACGGGCCAGACUCCUACGGGAGGCAGCAGUAGGGAAUAUUGGACAAUGGGUGAGAGCCUGAUCCAGCCAUGCCGCGUGCAGGAAGAAGGCGUUAUGCGUUGUAAACUGCUUUUGCCAGGGGAUAAAACGGUUCUGCGGAACUAAUUGAAGGUACCUGGUGAAUAAGCCACGGCUAACUACGUGCCAGCAGCCGCGGU